CUCUACUGUUUUUUUGCGCUACUAGAAAAAGUUUGUUUUUUUGACAUAAAAACAAUAGAAACCCUACGCCUUUCCUGGUUACGAUACAUAUUGCUCUCAUCGAAUUGAUUGCUCGUGCAGGUGGUUGCGUUGGUAUAGACAGUGGGGCAUCAUGAAUUUUUCUAUGCAACGCAAUAUUGAACUCGUGAAGGAUUGUGUGAAUAAAUGCACGAACGACUUUCUUUUCCAGGCUGACUACGAGAAGAACUUGGAGGUUGUGGACAAGAUCAACAACAAUCCAUCAUUGGCGAGUUUGUUUAUGAAGUCGAUAGAGGAUACGCUCACCAACGCAAGUACGGAGACGAAGGCAUGCCUGACGAUUGAGUUGCUUAAGACUAUUCUGCAGAACUGCUUAUGCUUUAUUCCUGUAUACUCUAAGAAGAAGUAUCAAGACGCAAUUAUGAAUUUUGUGCUUACUACAAAGUAUUUACGAGCACGAGAUGAGAUGCUGCAGAUAAUUCAAAUGCUCGGGACGUAUUAUACUGGUGAAUCUGAAUACAAUUUUAUGCAGACGUACAACAAGCUAUUAUACUUGCAUCAUUUGAAUUUCCCGCCACAUCGAGAGAUAUUCGAACCCCCUAGCUCUGUCAAUCCGACGUCAAGUCGGAUGCAAGGGAUUGAUAACAUAAUUACAGGAGUUGGAAAGGAGAGAGAUUACGAUAGGUCGUUGGCGGAUCAGUUGUCCAAUACGACUGUACAAAGGCAAUAUCGCCAGCUUUGCGCGAACAUCCGAAACCCAAAAAUAGAGGAGCUGGUCAGAAACUUCGAUGAGGCAUGGAAAAUAGCGACGGAUGCACUCAGCCGCGCGUCGAUCAAUGAAAAACCAUUGGAGGAAAGCGAUGCAUUGCACUCAGUAAUACCGCUGAUGAAGAAUUGGCACCAAGGUAUUAUCGGAUGGAUGCAGCAGGGGAACAUGAAUCUGAGUGAACAAGAAACAAAUUUACUGUUUUUGAUCAACGAUCAAAUUGUAGACAUAAUGAAGAGGUACGACGCCAUCAACACGAAUACAGCAAGUUACAGGCUAAAGAACAGUAGGCAAAUGUUGCACCUACGCAAAAAUUCUGAAAAAUCGAAGAAGAAGCUAGAUCGACGAGAAUCGACAGAAAAUGUCCGAAACGCCUUUGUAAAAAUUGCGUCACGAAAAAGAGACAUUUUAGAAAAAUUGGGAAAAAACGUUGGGUCUACAUCGCCAAAAUCAGACUUAAUGAGUUUAUUAUCAGAUAAUGUUCAGUCUUCUUCGAAAGGUGAUCCGUUUUCGUCUGAGUUUGGCGGCUUAUCUCUCAGUCCAAAACCGUGGAUAGAAUCUGUAGUUGAUCAACGUGUCGAUUCAACAAAAGAUUCUAGUCAAUCAGGUUUAUUGUCCUUGCAGCCUUUUACUUCUACCUCAUCAUCUCCAAUAAUCUCAUCACAGGUCAAAUUGAAUCAGACGGAGCGAAAUGCUUCACCGAUUUUAGACUUGUUCCAAAACGCCUCGUACCAUCAGUCUCCCACCCAAAUACCCGCGAAUGUCAACAACUUGGGUACCGUCAAAAGUGCACACUCCGGUGAAUCUAGCUUCUUCUCUCAAAAACAGUUUCAAGCAUUUCCAGAAUCUCGGACCGAUGGACCACAAUUUCAAAGGCGUAAUUGAUGCGUCGAGGACGCAUCUAUUUGCUCAUUCGAAGGGGUGCUGAGUGGUGCUCUGUAUUCCAUAGUAUGAAAGGCGCAAGAAGUUUUUCGUAAAGGCAACGCGUUUCGGCAAACACAGAACCUUUCAGAAUGUAUUUUUUACUCUCCAAGUACCGCAGCUUUCAGGAGUUUUUGCGAACCGCUUUUUUUUUUCUUUUUAAAUUUGAAAUUUGCCAAGAGUCGCAUUCUCAUUUGGCGUGUCGAGAUCUUUGUAUGUGUUAUGUCGUUGAGUGUUUAUGCAUCUAAGCUGCUGAAGCCCGAGUUUCGGAGCUACUUAAUGUCCACCCAUUUUUGGGGUCCCCUGGCCAACUGGGGAUUUGUCGUACGCAUGCAUUGAGGGAGGCGGGCUGCAGAGAGACAGUGGUCUUGUCUGGCAGGGAAAAGGGGGGUUGAGGCGAGUGUGCCUUCUGCGAAUCUAACCGGCCUUUCUCCGAAUUGUCGCCUCUGCACGUACCUGAACGGGGGGGGGGGGUUUUGACGCAUGAAAAAAAGAUUGCUGUACGUCAAAAACUUGUCGUGCUCGUCAGCGACUAAAUUUUUUUUUUGAAGCAGGCGCGAGUUUGGCGCUGACAAGAAUUCAUUUCAUUGCGCUACUUUGGGGUGUAGGGGCUGAUAGAUUCGAAGAAGCCACCGGAGGCCAUAUCAGGUCCCAUGACGGCGGCGAUGUGUGUGUAUUCGAUGUUGUUCAUGUAUGCGUGCCGAUAGAGAGAGGUUCCUGUCGAGGCAGAGAGGGCGGAAGGAAUUAAGUACUUGUGUGUUGUAGGCGGUUUGCGUGGGUGGUGAAGCCGAGAAACAUGUUGUUGUUCGCGUGUCAUCUUAGCAACGAGACGGUGCAGCUGUACCAGUUGGGAAGGAAGAUGAGACACGAAUGGAGCUAGAGUUGUGGGUCGUUCCGUUCUGAAGAGAGAGAGAGAGAGAAGUAAAAAGCCGUUUUUUUUUUUUGAACUUAUUUUUGUCGAGUUGAAGAGGUAGAGCGUUUUUGGUGG